GUUCACUUCAGCAGCACAUACACUAAACUUGGAAUGAUACAGAGAAGAUUAGCAUGACCCUUGCACAAGUAUGAUACAAAUUCCUGAAGCGUUUCAUAUUUUU